rnacentral:lncRNA from 1 species
AGGUGGACGGAGUACAGAGGUGGUGAGUCCAGGCAGUCUUCAUCAACAUGUAGCAAAAGAAGCUGCAGGGCCUUGGACACCAAAAAAGCUGUAAGGUCUUAUGGAGCUGAAAAGAGCUACUGAUUACCUAACCCUGUUCUGCACGUUAUCGUCUGAAUCUGACUGAGCACUGACUGAAUCUGCUGAGCAUCCUGCACCACCCGAUACUGCCUAGGGGAGAAGGAAGACUCAGGUUCUCAGGGAGCUGAUGAUCAAUCUGUGCCUUGGCUGGCCUGCCACCCAUCUCUGAGUCCCUCGUCCUUGCCAGGCGGCCCUGCGGAAGGGGCUCACCGCGAGCCAGGAGCAGACACCCUCUCGCCCUCUUGGGAAAGCGGAUCAGGCCGGCUUCUGGGGCGCUCCCUGCACCCCGCCACCUUCUGGGACCUCCGCUGAGAGCCGCGCUUGGGGCACCGCCGGGCCAGCCUCCAACCCCGCCCCCGACAAGGCAGAGCCCGAGACACACCUUCUUUAGGGCAGAGAUGCCCACUUAUCAUCUGUGCAUCCUGAGAGUCAAGAACAGAGCACGUUCUUACCAUCCAGGUG